rnacentral:rRNA from 1 species
GACGAACGCUGGCGGCGUGCUUAACACAUGCAAGUCGAACGGAAAGGCCUUUUCGGAGGUACUCGAGUGGCGAACGGGUGAGUAACACGUGGGUGAUCUGCCCUGCACUCUGGGAUAAGCCUGGGAAACUGGGUCGAAUACCGGAUAGGACCGCACUUUAGUGUGUGUGGUGGAAAGUUUUUUCGGUGUAGGAUGAGCCCGCGGCCUAUCAGCUUGUUGGUGGGGUAAUGGCCUACCAAGGCGGCGACGGGUAGCCGGACUGAGAGGUUGGUCGGCCACAUUGGGACUGAGAUACGGCCCAGACUCCUACGGGAGGCAGCAGUGGGGAAUAUUGCACAAUGGGCGCAAGCCUGAUGCAGCGACGCCGCGUGGGGGAUGACGGCCUUCGGGUUGGAAACUCCUUUCGCCAGGGACGAAGCGUUUUGUGACGGUACCUGGAGAAGAAGCACCGGCUAACUACGUG